rnacentral:lncRNA from 10 species
AUUCUUGGAGCUCGGUUCCGCGGUCGGUCCGGAUCUCCCGGGAAGUCUCGCCGGAGUCAGGCAGGCCUUAGGAAGAAGCUGCCUGAUGUGCAAGGUUUCAUAGGCCGUCAGAGGGGGCAUCCUGGAGGAGCCCUGGCAUCAGGAAAGUGAGCCCCCCAUGGCAGCCCGCAGGAAUGAACCAGUGCUCAGGUAUAUGGAACACUCCUUGCAUCAAAGCUGGCACGUGUGAAGAGGCGGGAAGGGACUCUUCCAUAACUGAGACACCAUUACCUCAGAGAAAAAUUAAACAGAUUAUCACCAAAAACGGGGGUGGGGGGAGGACAUACCUACCAGUGGUCAAGUGCCAAGGCAUCCCUGCUCUUCUAGAGCUGGUUAUCCUCAGGAAGAGAUUACUACACGCCCUCAGGGCAGAAGCUGACCCCCCUCCCCGAGGUGGACUUGCAGGCAAGAGCAACACUUUUAAGGCAGGUCACACUGGUGGUUUCUCCCUACCCUGGUUAAGACCCCCACUACCUCUACUCCCAUCUCCUCUCCCUUCCCCAUAGCAAAGCAUAGUCUGCAUUUUCUAGUCCCCUCAAGUCAAGGCAGGCCAGGGGCUCCAAGGGCAGGCCCACCUCUUUCUUCUAAGAUUUUUUGUGUGUGUGUGACGGAGUCUCACUCUGUCGCCCAGGCUGGAGUGCAGUGGCGCGAUCUUGGCUCACUGCAACCUCUGCCUUCCGGGUUCAAGCAAUUCUCCUGCCUCAGCCUACCAAGUAGCUGGCAUGCGCCACCAUGGCGGGCCAAUUUUUUUUUUUGUAUUUUUAUUUAUUAUUAUUUAGUUUUAAUUUUUUAAUUAUAAUUUUUUUUUUUUUUUUGAUACAGAGUCUCGCUCUGUCGCCAGGCUGGAGUACAGUGGUGUGAUCUCAGCUCACCGAAAGCUCCGCCUCCCGGGUUCAAGCAAUUCUCCUGUCUCAGCCUCCCAAGUAGCUGGGACUACAGGUGCCCGCCACAAUGCCCGGCUAAUUUUUAUAUUUUUAGUAGAGACAGGGUUUCACCAUGUUGGCCAGGCUGGUCUCAAACUCGUGACCUCAGGUGUUCCACCCACCUUGGCCUCCCAAAGUGCUGGAAUUACAGACAUAAGGCACCACACCCAGACCAAAUCUCCUAAAUUCUUAAAUAUAAUAAACCAACCAACAGAACCAUAAUUUUACCAAGGAUCUCAUGGCUUUCUCAUACCUUUUCUGGAAUGAAGUUGAGACUAUUUCCCUCUAGCCUUUUUUUUUUUUCCCCGAGACAGAGUCUUGCUCUGUCACCCAGGCUGGAGUGCAGUGGCUUCAUCUCGGCUCACUGCAACCUCUGCCUCCCGGGUUCAAGCAAUUCUCCUGCCUCAGCCUCCCAAGUAGCUGGGAUUACAGGCACGUGCCACCACGCCCAGCUAAUUUUUAUAUUUUUAAUAAAGAUGGGGUUUCACCAUGUUGGCCAAGCUGGUCUCAAACUCCUGACCUCGUGAUCCGCCCGCCUUGGCCUCCCAAAGUGCUGGGAUUACAGGCAUGAGCCACCGCGACCGGCCCCUCUAGCCUUUUAAAAACUAGAAUUUGAUCACCAUAAAAUCUGUACUUUGCUUAACCUAUUUUCCUGAACUCCAUUCUUACACCUAUUACCUGAACUAGGCCUACCACUAAGCACAGGUACUGAUAGCUCAUUGCCAGACAACAGAAAGCAAGCAGGUUGCAGGGCUGCUCCACCUGCUGUCAGCUGUGGGAAUUUCACAACCACAUCAGAAACCAGAAUUUCUCAGUCUUUUAAAAGCCUGGCCCUUUGAUGCCAUGACAAUACAUACUACCAAAUCCAGGCCUUCUAUUGAUCUGUAUUCUUUUUUUUUUUUGAGGUGGAGUCUCGCUCUGUCGCCCAGGCUGGAGUGCAGUGGUGCCAUCUCGGCUGACUGCAAGCUCUGCCUCCCGGGUUCACGCCAUUCUCCUGCCUCAGCCUCCUGAGUAGCUGGGACUACAGGUGCCUGCCACCACGCCCGGCUAAUUUUUUUGUAUUUGUUUUUUAGUAGAGAUGGGGUUUCACUGUGUUAGCCAGGAUGUUCUCGAUCUCCUUGCCUUGGCCUCCCAAAGUGCUGGGAUUACAGGAGUGAGCCACUGUGCCUGGCCUUUUUUUUUUUUUUUUUUUUUUUUAGACAGUCUCGCUCUGUCGUGCCCAGGCUGGAGUGCAGUGGCGCGAUCUCAGCUUACUGCAACCUCUGCCUUCUGGGUUGAAGCUAUUCCCCUGCCUCAGCCUCCAGAGUAGCUGGGAUUACAGGCACCUACCACCAGGCCUGGCUAAUUUUUUGUAUAUUUUAGUAGAGGUGGGGUUUCACCAUGUUGGUCAGGCUGGUCUCAAACUCCUGACUGCAGGUGAUCCGCCCCCUCGGCCUCCCAAAGUGCUGGGAUUACAGGCAUGAGCCACCACGCCUGGCCUGUUUAAGACAGGGUCUUGCUCUGUCACCCAGGCUGGAGUGCAGUGGUGUGAUCACAGCUUUCUGCAGCACCUACCCCCAGGCCCAAGCAAUCCUCCUAGCUCAGCCUCCCAAGUAGCUGGGAUUACAGGUGUGCAGCACCACGCCCAGCUAAUUUUUAUUUUUUAUUUUUGUAGGAAGAGAUCUCCCUGUUGUCCAGGCUGGUCAUGAACUCCCAGGGCUCAAGCAGUUCUCCAGUCUCAGCCUCCUGAAGUGCUGGGAUUAUAGGCAUGAGCCACCACGCCAGGCCCCUAACUCAUUUUAAAUGGCUGUGUAAUGUGGAUGAUGACAGCACCUACCUCAAGGGGCUGCUGUGAGGACUAAAUGGGGCAGAAAAAUUCUGCCUGACCUUUCCCAUCUUCCUGAUGAUGUUAACAAACGACAGCCACUGAGGGCACAGGAGGGGGCUCUACACAGGCCAAGAGCUACAGGCUACAGUCUGAGCACAGAAAACCCUCCAGCUCCAGCAUCCAGGGCCACAGCUGGACACAAGUACAGAACCUGGCAGCCCUGCAGCCCAGACAAUGCCCAGGGUGUGAUUUAGGGUGCAGAGCUGCAACUCAGAUCCUGUGCCAUGGCAGUAUCACAGGAAGGACUUGACGGAGAGGUGAAGGCUCCAGACGCCAGGAUAUUUAUUCCCUGUGCCAAUACAGCAUUCACACCUGACCUCCAGGUCCUGCAGCAGUCUCUCCCUUGCUGGGGACAACACAGGAAGAGACAAAACCUGAGGAAGGAAAAAGGGAACCUGCAACCAGCCAUGGACCUCAU